AUGGGGGAAGUCCGGUGAGACUCCGGCGCUGACCCGCAACGGUAUGCACGCCUCUUGUCCGGCUGUUCGGCUGUUCGGCUGUUCGGCCGGGCAGUCACCUGGCUGUCCGGCCGGGACUGGGGUGUGCGAGCCCGAUCACCC
rfam:Streptomyces turgidiscabies Car8 gcontig_1113219321319, whole genome shotgun sequence.